GAAUAUUUGUUGUCAACAUGAAUUGAAUAACAAUAGGAACAUUUAUGAGCUAAAAAACUGGGAAAGGAAUUUAAAAUAUGGAGCAAGAUAGCAGUGGAAAGUAUAAACAAUUCAUCAAUUUGGUUGGCUCAUAAUGUUUUUUCAUUGAGCAAAUAAAAAAAUUCCGAAGAUUAAUACUGUCCAAGACUUCUUUUGGAAUGAAGAUUUAACGUGCUGAAAUAAA